rnacentral:rRNA from 1 species
CACACCAUGGGAGUCUGCUGCACCAGAAGCAGGUAGCCUAACCGCAAGGGAGGCAGCCGUCCAUGGUAUGGCUGGUGACUGGGGUG